AUGCAUGCAAUGUUAUUUUGCACAAUCAACAACUUUCAUGCAUAUGGUAAUUUGGCUAGAUACACUGUCAAAGGACAUAAAGCGUGUACUAUAUGUGAAUCCAUUACUUGUUUUCACCAGCCUAAGUUUGCAUCGGGCUAUUUUGUUUGGGAACACGUGACCAAAACACACCAUAAUUUAUAUUGCAUUUACAUCAAAUUUCAUCUGCAAAAUUUAAUCAAUGCUUCACAUUCAUUCUUCACAAGGAUUACGAAAUGUUCACACAGAUCCUGCUUCUUUUCCCUCCCAAUAUCAAUAACACUCCAAUUUCAUCCUAAUUCCCUCUCAACUCUACUAUAA